UCUCUUUUUGCGGUAGAGCACGUCCUUGGUAAGGACGAGGUCGCGGGUUCAAAUCCCGCUAACAGCUCCA
rnacentral:tRNA from 1 species